AACAUAUAUUGGGGCCACUUUCUCACCAUUUCUUUGUACCUUUUCCAAGCUUCAUAGAAGAAUUCUCCAUCUUUCUAAGUGAAAGUUUGAAAAUCAUGUCUUAUCUU